rnacentral:lncRNA from 1 species
CCAUUGGUAACCUGAAGACCAAGAGCUCCCCGAGCAGGCAGAGGCCACGCGCACGGUCGGUCAUGGCGGCGGAUGCGGCCUCCUUCCUGCUCCAGCUUCUGUGGGAGGUGCUGUUGUGCUGUUGCCCCCGCCGGCCAGGUCAAGAUGCAGCGCCCAGCCAAGGUGACAUGCGCGAGAGUACUCCUACGGAGCAACCGGUGGACGACGUGGUCCAGUUGCAGCGAGAUCUUACAAGCCCCAGCUCCCCAUCCCAACCCAAGGAAACAGACAAACAAUUCAGGCAUCACGGCCAACCACCGACUGCGCAUGGCGGUGGUGGCAGCCAUCACCACUGAAAACUGAAAGGUAAAAUCCUGUCUUGGAGGAGGAGAUUCAAAGGUCAAUCAGCGCAGAAAUUAAUUAUUUGGAAUAAGUUUUACUAUAGUUAACAUGUAUGGUCCAAAAGAAUGAGGGGUGAGGAGUAAUACAUUUUUCUGUUACGUUACUAUAAUUAACAUGAAUGGUCCAAAAGAAUGAGGGGUGAUAGAGGAGUAAUACAUUUUUCUGUUACGUUGACUUUUUUUGUAAACAGGGGGGACAUAUACAUACUGAAGGAUCUGUGGUAGUGAAGUUGUUGGACGGCAAUUAAGGAAGACGACACAUGUUGCUAAUCACAAUGGAGGUUUCAUGAGUUGUUUCAUGUAUUAAUUAGUCUGCCACAUCAGCUAUUUGGAUGAUAUGUCACAUCAUUUAAGAAGGGAGAG